UAUGCAUUUAUGACCACAUUAAAAAAAAAAAAAAAAAAGUAGUAAUGAUAUCAUUAUUAUUAUAUAUAACAUGUGUGUUUUGAC
rnacentral:ribozyme from 1 species